rnacentral:lncRNA from 1 species
UUUAUUUUUGUUUACAAAUCUAUUAAACGAAAGUGGGCAUAAAAAAUAAAAAAAAAGAGAGGAGAAGAGAGUCUUACCGGAUCCACCCCGGGGUUGCGUCGCCGGAGUUUUCUUUUCCGUCGUCAGAACCAACGCAAGGAGAAGGUGGGGGGUUCUUUCUCCUUUGUUUUCUUCGGUAUAGAGAGGCCUCACCAUUGAAUCUCCCUUUAA